GACAGAGGGGGCAAGCGUUGCUCGGAAUUACUGGGCGUAAAGGGCGCGUAGGCGGAAUGGCAAGUCGGUCGUGAAAUCCUUCGGCUCAACCGAAGAACGUCGAUCGAAACUGCCGUUCUUGAGGAUUGCAGAGGAGACUGGAAUUCCCGGUGUAGCGGUGAAAUGUGUAGAGAUCGGGAGGAACACCUGCGGCGAAGGCGGGUUGCUGGGCUGACACUGACGCUGAGGCGCGAAAGCUAGGGGAGCGAACGGG
rnacentral:rRNA from 1 species